rnacentral:rRNA from 1 species
UGAGGUAACAUGACCUUCGGCGGGGGAUAGCCGGCCCAACGGCCGGGUAAUACCGCGUACGACCACAUGGGGACAUCCCUGAGUGGUGAAAGCAGCAAUGCGCCGAUGGAGUGCCUCGCGGCCUAUCAGCUAGUUGGUGAGGUAACGGCUCACCAAGGCGACGACGGGUAGCUGGUCUGAGAGGAUGGCCAGCCACAUUGGGACUGAGACACGGCCCAGACCUCUACCGGGGA